rnacentral:rRNA from 1 species
UACGAAGGGGGCUAGCGUUGUUCGGAGUUACUGGGCGUAAAGGGUGUGUAGGCGGUUGUUUAAGUUUGGUGUGAAAUCUCCCGGCUCAACUGGGAGGGUGCGCCGAAUACUGAAUGACUAGAGUGCGGGAGAGGAAAGUGGAAUUCCUGGUGUAGCGGUGAAAUGCGUAGAUAUCAGGAGGAACACCGGUGGUGUAGACGGCUUUCUGGACCGUAACUGACGCUGAGACACGAAAGCGUGGGUAGCAAACAGG